GGCAAGAUGGCCGAGCGGUCUAAGGCGCCACGUUAAGGAAUUUUCAAAUCUCUUAAUUCACUCACGAUGCGGUUUGGCAUCCUUGUCACAUUCACAUCAUAUGAUUCCGUGGUCCGAAAGGGCGUGGGUUCGAAUCCCACUCUUGUCA